GUUUCUCAGCGGCCUAGAUGCCUCUUGGUCUGGCUGAAUAUCUUCUAUGAAGAUCACUUCCCCGUCCAUCAGGGAGACAAUUCCUGGAGAUUCGUGUCAUGACUGUUUCUCUCUCCAAACCUGUUUCUGCUGGAUUGCGCAGGUCUGAUGACCCUGGAGCUCUUGGCUUCCAUACGUGUCUCAGACAGGACAAGUGCAUUUCCUCUGCACUUCCUGUCUCAUUCUUGAGAAACAUCCUCCCCUCUGCUCGUGGGUGGACUGACUCCUUGAAUCUUUUGGCUGUAAGGAACGUCAGGGAUCCAAUGGUACUGGGCUGGGGCUGGAGCUGGAUGCAGGGGAGGUUCCGUCAGAGCUACCUGGGCAUUGGAGGAUUGGGGGUGGAUUGAACUUUGCAGAAACUUCUUUACUCCUCCAGCAGGCUUUUCAAAAUGUGGCUUGGACUCAUGCAAUAAGAAAUUUAGGAGUUGAAAGGGCCCCUUUUUCAUUGGCACUCUGGUUAACAUUGCUUCAGCACAAUCAUAUGAUAGAGAAGCCUUAUCAAAUUUGCUGUCCCUCAGGGCUCUUAAAGAUGCUUGAUAAAUGAUUAGGGAAAUAAGAAAAAAAUUGAAAGGAAAAGGAAGUCCAAGGACCUGCCCCAGAAGAAUCACAGAUAUGUUUGAAUACUUAGUCGUUAUUUGCCCCAGAUAGAAAAUGUUUUUUAAUCAAAAGGCAAAAGUUAUAAUGAGGAAGAUAAUAUUGCCUGGGGCAAUGUUGAGACAAAUAAGAUGAAGAUCAACCAAAUGCCCUGAGUCCUUUGGCCCAAAUCCCUGCUGGGGACCCAAAUACUUUUGAUAUAGCAUCUUGCUACCUGAGGAAUGCAAGGAGAAUAAUACUCAUAAGCAAAGAGCCUCUGUUUUCCCAUAGGACUGACUCUAACUAUGUGAAGAACUGCUACAUAUUCUACAGUGCUUGAUAGGCGGUUCCCAUCUAACAGGAGCUGUUUGGCUUGUGGAUAGCAGUUCCAAGAUAAACAAAUGACAUUGUGUUUGAAAGCCACUGCUCUUAUUAAAGAAGAGUCAAGCAAA
rnacentral:lncRNA from 1 species